rnacentral:lncRNA from 1 species
CUUAUCCUCCACAAUUAGUUAACCUUUAGAAAUUAACUCUACGAUAACAGUCUUUAGCACCGUGUCCUUUAAACAAAUCUGACAUGGAGCUUUUCAUUGAAUCUUGAUGAGCAUAUAUAUAUAGUUCUUUCCUCUAGUUUCUAUGCUCGACUCAAUCUUUGACGGAGUAAGUGCGAACUGUAGCUCCUGAUCCAUUGGCAACAAACUCUUUAAUUGAAUAAGGGUCUUGGCGUGAUCAAAUAUAUCUAGUAGUAAUCGUGGAGAAAAAUGGUUGAUAAUCGAUUCCCAGACCACCCUGCAAGGUAAUUAGAACAAUCUGUGAAUCUUUAAUUUUAUCUCCAGCAGCAGCAAGUUUGUCCCUAGCAAUUGUAAUUUUCUUCAAAUAAUCUACCAUCGAUCGACAUUUGAUCUUUCUUGAUAUUUUGUAAUUGGAAUCACAGAUGCAAUAGCCUUGCUGUUUCUCUAUUCGAUGAGAACAUCUCGUUCAAACAUUUCUACACUUGUUUUCAUUUCUUUUUUUCUUUCUUCUUGAUUACUUCUUUUUUUUCUUCCUUCUUGAUUACAUCUUUUUUCAGAUCUGUUUAGAUCGAUCCUUAGUUUCUCAAAUCUUGUGUCGACUGACGUCGAUUCUUGUGUUGAUAACCUCUUUGAUUAUUAUUAUUUCAGGUUUAGGUUUCGUCUAUUUUCGAUGUGAUGGAAUUGUCUACGUCUCUUUUGAUAUCUUUAUGUUCGAUUGGUGUGGUGUGGUCCACGACUUAGAUCAAACAGAUGUCGUCUUUGGAUUUGGAUCAUUUUCUUGUAAAUGCAAGCUGAAAGGGCUGCUGGUUAAUUUUAGAGGAUUUAGUCUGACGGAUGAAAGCUGAUAGGAUCGUUUCUUAAUUUCAUGCUGUAUUUUCGAUCAAUAUGUACGUAUUUUCAUGUAUGCACUGAUUGGCAUAUGUUUUUGGUAACAUUGAACUCGACCUUUGCCAUGUUGGGUGCGCUCGCAUGCAUGGCAGGUCACUCUAAAUCCUAAUAAAAAAAAAGUUUUUUUGGUUUGGUUUGGAGAAGUUUUUUUUAUAUCCAUGGUCGAUCUUGGUGUUUCUUCAUUUUGUUAUUUAUUUGUAUUGCGUUCACAUCAUUGGAUCGUCUUUCAUUGGUUAUAUGAGUUACGUCGUUCGUUCAAAUUGUCUUGAGGUGCCCAUUAAUUUAU